rnacentral:tRNA from 2 species
GCUCCCGUGGUGUAGUCCGGCCAAUCAUUCCGGCCUUUCGAGCCGGCGACCCGGGUUCAAAUCCCGGCGGGAGCA